AGAGUUUGAUCCUGGCUCAGAAUGAACGCUGGCGGCGUGCUUAACACGUGCAAGUCGAACGGUAACAGGAGGAAGCUUGCUUCUUUGCUGACGAGUGGCGCACGGGUGAGUAAUGCAUAGGUAACGUGCCCCUUAGUCUGGGAUAGCCACUGGAAACGGUGAUUAAUACUGGAUACUCCUUCUUCCUUAAUGGAAGUUGGGAAACUUUUUGGCUAAGGGAUCGGCCUAUGUUGUAUCAGGUAGUUGGUGAGGUAAUGGCUCACCAAGCCUAUGACACAUAGCGGGUCUGAGAGGAUGAUCCGCCACACUGGUACUGAGACACGGACCAGACUCCUACGGGAGGCAGCAGUGGGGAAUAUUGCACAAUGGACGAAAGUCUGAUGCAGCAACGCCGCGUGGAGGAUGACACAUUUCGGUGCGUAAACUCCUUUUAUAUAGGAAGAUAAUGACGGUACUAUAUGAAUAAGCACCGCUAACU
rnacentral:rRNA from 1 species